CUACCAUGCAGUCGAGCGGUAGCACAGAGAGCUUGCUCUCGGGUGACGAGUGGCGGACGGGUGAGUAAUGUCUGGGAAACUGCCUGAUGGAGGGGGAUAACUACUGGAAACGGUAGCUAAUACCGCAUAAUGUCGCAAGACCAAAGAGGGGGACCUUCGGGCCUCUUGCCAUCAGAUGUGCCCAGAUGGGAUUAGCUAGUAGGUGGGGUAACGGCUCACCUAGGCGACGAUCCCUAGCUGGUCUGAGAGGAUGACCAGGCACACUGGAACUGAGACACGGUCCAGACUCCUACGGGAGGCAGCAGGGGGGAAUAUUGCACAAUGGGCGCAAGCCUGAUGCAGCCAUGCCGCGUGGGUGAAGAAGGCCUUCGGGUUGUAAAGUACUUUCAGCGGGGAGGAAGGCGAUAAGGUUAAUAACCUUGUCGAUUGACGUUACCCGCAGAAGAAGCACCGGCUAACUCCGUGCCAGCAGCCGCGGUAAUACGGAGGGUGCAAGCGUUAAUCGGAAUUACUGGGCGUAAAGCGCACGCAGGCGGUCUGUCAAGUCGGAUGUGAAAUCCCCGGGCUCAACCUGGGAACUGCAUUCGAAACUGGCAGGCUAGAGUCUUGUAGAGGGGGGUAGAAUUCCAGGUGUAGCGGUGAAAUGCGUAGAGAUCUGGAGGAAUACCGGUGGCGAAGGCGGCCCCCUGGACAAAGACUG
rnacentral:rRNA from 1 species